GGUUCCAUGGAGUAAUGGUGAGCACUUUGGUCUUAGAAUCUAGAGAUCCGAGUUCAAACCUCGGUGGAACCU
rnacentral:tRNA from 1 species